CUUGAUGGAGCCGAGCAGCAGCGGCCGGUCGGCGGGCCGGUCCUGGCCGUAGGUGGCCAGCAGCGCCUGUGCCUC
rnacentral:antisense_RNA from 1 species